rnacentral:rRNA from 1 species
AGAAUCAACGCUGGCGGCGUGCCUCAGACAUGCAAGUCGAACGAUUAAAGCUCUCUUCGGAGAGUGUAUAGAGUGGCGCACGGGUGAGUAACACGUAAGUAAUCUACCUUCGAGUGGGGAAUAACGUCCGGAAACGGACGCUAAUACCGCAUAAUGCAGCGGCAUCGCAAGAUGACAGUUGUUAAAGAUUUUAUCGCUUUGAAGAGGAGCUUGCGGCAGAUUAGCUAGUUGGUAAGGUAAUGGCUUACCAAGGCUACGAUCUGUAACCGGUCUAAGAGGACGGUCGGUCACACUGACACUGAAUAACGGGUCAGACUCCUACGGGAGGCAGCAGUCGGAAUUUUGGGCAAGUGGGGGAAAGCCUGACCCAGCCAACGCCGCGUGAAGGAUGAAGUAUUUCGGAUGUAAACUUCGAAAGAAGUGGAAAGAAUAAAGUGAACGGUACCAAGUUUUAAUAAGGUCCGGUACUAAACGUACGUACGACCAGCCAAGCC